AGUGAACGCUGGCGGCGUGCCUAAUACAUGCAAGUCGAACGGAGUGGCGCACGGGUGAGUAAUGUAUAGCUAAUCUGCCCUACACUAGAGGACAACAGUUGGAAACGGCUGCUAAUACUCUAUAGUGUAGGAUGAGGCUAUAUUGUAUCAGCUAGUUGGUGAGGUAAUGGCUCACCAAGGCUAUGACGCAUAACUGGUCUGAGAGGAUGAUCAGUCAAAACGGAAGUGGGACACGGUGCAGACCUCUACGGGAGGGAGGAGGAGGGAAAAUUGGUCAAUGGGGGAAACCCUGAAGCAGCAACGCCGCGUGGAGGAUGACACUUUUCGGAGCGUAAACUCCUUUUGUUAGGGAAGCGGUACCUAACGAAUAAGCACCGGCUAACUCCGUGCCAGCAGCCGCGGUAAUAC
rnacentral:rRNA from 1 species